rnacentral:rRNA from 1 species
GAAUAUUGGACGAUGGGGGGAACCCUGAUCCAGCCAUGCCGCGUGUGUGAAGAAGGCCUUUUGGUUGUAAAGCACUGUAAGCGAGGAGGAGGCUACUCUAGUUAAUACCUAGGGCUAGUGGACGUUACUCGCAGAAUACGCACCGGCUAACUCUAUGCCAGCCGCCGCGGUAAUACAGUGGUUGCAAGCGUUAAUCGGAUUUACUGGGCGUAAAGCGCGCGUAGGUGGCCAAUUAAGUCAAAUGUGAAAUCCCCGAGCUUAACUUGGGAAUUGCAUGCGAUACUGGUUGGCUAGAGUAUGGGAGAGGAUGGUAGAAUUCCAGGUGUAGCGGUGAAAUGCGUAGAGAUCUGGAGGAAUACCGAUGGCGAAGGCAGCCAUCUGGCCUAAUACUGACACUGAGGUGCGAAAGCAUGGGGAGCAAACAG